rnacentral:rRNA from 1 species
UACGAAGGGUGCAAACGUUGCUCGGAAUUACUGGGCGUAAAGGGCUCGUAGGCGGCCAACUAAGUCAGACGUGAAAUCCCUCGGCUUAACCGGGGAACUGCGUCUGAUACUGGAUGGCUUGAGGUUGGGAGAGGGAUGCGGAAUUCCAGGUGUAGCGGUGAAAUGCGUAGAUAUCUGGAGGAACACCGGUGGCGAAGGCGGCAUCCUGGACCAAUUCUGACGCUGAGGAGCGAAAGCCAGGGGAGCAAACAGG